GUUCUUGGCGGCAUCUCCGAUGAGGCGCUCGGUGUCGGUGAAGCCGACGUACGAGGGCGUGGUGCGGUUGCCCUGGUCGUUGGCGAUGAUCUCGACGCGGUCGUGCUGCCACACGCCGACGCACGAGUAGGUCGUGCCGAGGUCGAUGCCGAUGGCCGGGCCCUCUCCCUUGGUCGGCGCCAUGGUGGUAUAGUCUAGAUCUCCGGGGCCGCUAAGCUAGGGUUAGGGUUUUCUAUUUCGGCGGCUGCGCAGCAGGGAGGCGGCUGCUGCUGCGGAGUCUGGAGAGGAGGAAGAAGGGAGGCCGGCAAGAGGAUAUUUAUACAGGGAACGCUUUGCUUGCUUGGUCUCCUCCUCUUGUCUCGUGCUCCGAACUGGCGCUGCCGUGGCCCAUUCAGAGCCCAGUUCGUAUCCGGUGGGCCCCUGGUGGCAGAGUUCACAAGGUAGUAGUGCUAGGAAGUAGAGUACGUCAUGGUUCUUUAGGUCGGUCUCCCUGUUCGCGGGCCCGUUUGGUGGACGACUUGGCGGGUCCCAGCUGCAGUUGCACGUGGGUGGGUGUCGCGGGAGAGCGGGAUUGGAGGUGUUGGGAGCCGUGUGGUUAUUAAUGGAAAGCCUCUUUGGUCGGGAGUGGGUGCCAUGAUCUAUGGAGGACUUUUCCGCGCUCGGGCGUCGUUCGAUCUUCAUCGGAGGGUUCCGGACUGAAGUAGUUUUUGCCCGUCCGAUGUGAUAUUUUGGCAAGCUAAUAUGGUCAAAGUUUAUCCUAUCAAACUUGUUUUGGUAGUGGCUAAUUUUUUGGGAAGCUAAUAUGUCAUUGACAACUCUAAUUCAUUUCUCUCGCCAAUUAUGGUGAACUCAUGGGCUACCAGGUGGUGACUAUGGUGUGGGCAAUACUCGCACAGAAGUCGAUGUUGUUGUUGGAACGUCUUAUGCUGAUGAGGAACAGACGGCGGCAAUGAGCACAAGUCACACAAGGAGAAGGAUGGCACCGGGGAAAGAGUCCAACUAUGAGCUCAAGCUAAGAGCGGUUCGGUGGUGUUAGGAUUCGCCUUUGAGGAGAGAAAAUGGAAGGGACAUGAGAAAGGAGAGAGGUCGGGCUUGAUGCGUUCUUUGGCACAUGUUGUGGUAGUAUGAACAAAAGCAUUUGGCGCAUGAAUAUGUGCAUCUCGGUGCACGACCAAAUACGGAGCACCGGGUUUCACAAAUUCGCAUCACAUCUCUUUCCAGUCUCCACUUUGCCGUUUUAGAUCCGUAGAAUUCAGAUGUUCGGGGCUAUAUUAUUGGAUCUUAAUGUCCUCAUCUACAAUUGCAAACUUUUGUACUCCUAUAUCACCAUUACAAUAAACGACAAUAUGAUUGUUCUAAAAAAUGCUUGUGUAAGAAAACAUGUGCUAAUGAGAGUUAAUAUCUCUGCCAUGGGAACAACAAUUCAAGUCAACGAUCUCACCACCGAAUGCGAGGCCAACAUUACUAUCUAGG
rnacentral:lncRNA from 1 species